AUGAGAGCCAAGGCGCCGUCGAGCGCAGAGCCUGUGUGGGAUAGGAAGGCCGCGGCGGUGCAGGCGGAGAUGGUAGAGGCGGCGGCCAUGUGGUGUGCCAUGCACGGACUCGUCGUCGACGACCGCGGCAACCCGAGAUCUGGAACAGUCCCAGGUGUUGGUUUGGUUCAUGCUCCAUUUUCACUACUUCCAACACGUUUUCCAGCAUCUUUUUGGAAGCAAGCAUGCGAACUGACUCGUAUUUUCAAUGAGCUUGUGGAUCGUGUGAGCUUGGAUGGGAAGUUCUUGCAAGGUUCUUUGUCUAGAACAAAGAAGGUUGAAGAUUUCACUGCUUGGUUGUUAGAAAUUCAUGCAAAGAUGAUGGCAGUAAACAAGAAAGAGGACCUUAAUCAAUAUGGUGAAGUCUUAGGUCUUGAUUCUGAAAGGAUUCCUCGGAACUGGGCAGCCAGUCAAUUUGCUGAAGCAUUGGGCAAAGCAUGGGUUGAGUAUAAUAAUGAAAGCGCUGUAGUUACGAUGGUUGUUCAAGCUGAAGAAAGAAAUAUGUAUGAUCAGUACUGGCUCAUCAAUCAUUUGAAAGAAUCACAUGGUGUGAUGAUCAUUAGGAAAACUUUGGCACAGGUGGAGGCCGAAGGACUAGUGCUUCCGGAUGGAACACUUGUGGUAGAUGGACGACCUGUUGUUGUUGUGUAUUUCAGAGCUGGGUAUGCACUGACUGAUUACCCUUCAGAAGUGGAACGGAUUGCAAGGCUUUUCAUUGAACAAUCAUCUGCUAUUAAGUGCCCUUCAAUAUCCUACCAUUUAGUCGGAACCAAAAAGAUCCAGCAAGAGCUAGCAAAACCUAGUGUUCUUGAAAGAUUCCUUGACAACAAGGAAGACAUUGCCAAGCUACGUAAAUGCUUCGCAGGGUUAUGGAGCUUGGACAAUGAUGAAAUAGGAGAGGUGCUUGCGGCCUACAUUUUGAUGCAGCGGAUUUUUCCGAGAGCUUCUUUUACUCAGCUUGUCCAGGGCGGUGUCUGCUCUGAGGACCUUUCAAUCUCCGAGCUUGGAAUAUUUGGAUCCUACCUGCGGAACAAAGAUAAGGUAGUCAUUAAUAGCCAAUGUGGUUACUUGAUGCGCACUAAAGUUUCUUCAUCAAACGAAGGUGGAGUUGCUGCAGGAUUUGCAGUUCUGGACAGCAUUCUCCUCACAGAUGAGGUGAUUAUAUUGCGGUGUAAAAACUAUUUACUAUUGAUCUCAAUUUUUGAAGUGUCUGAAACCUAUCGGUUCCCUUGCAGUAAAGGUAGUUUAUAUAGUCUCUUGUCAAAUCCAAUCCGUCUUGAAAAAAAUGAUGUUCUCUCAUCAGUCACUUGA
rnacentral:rRNA from 1 species